rnacentral:rRNA from 1 species
UACGUAGGGUGCGAGCGUUAAUCGGAAUUACUGGCGUAAAGCGUGCGUAGGCGGCUUUGCAAGACAGAUGUGAAGUCCCCGGGCUUAACCUGGGAACUGCAUUUGUGACUGCAUGGCUGGAGUGCGGCAGAGGGGAUGGAAUUCCGCGUGUAGCAGUGAAAUGCGUAGAUAUGCGGAGGAACACCGAUGGCGAAGGCAAUCCCCUGGACCUGUACUGACGCUCAUGCACGAA